rnacentral:misc_RNA from 1 species
CUUUAGAGCAGUACAUUCAAAAGGAUAAAAGGUGGGCAAAAAUUGAAGGGAAACAAUGGUGCGCCAAACCUACACUUUCAAUAUUACUAUUGAUUCAAAAGGUAACAUAAUCUCUGAUAAACAAUUCUCCUUUCACAAAUGAUCCCUAUGGAUAUUUUAUUCUCACAGUAAGCCAAAUUGUUUAAUUGACUGAUCAGUGAAGUUCAAACGUAGCAUUGUAAAUACGGGUUUAGACAAUGAAAAACAAGG